CGCAAGUCCAAUGCCUCUUACCCCACCCCUCUCCCUCUUCGUAUCUGUUACAGUUCAAAUAGCUUCCUUGCCAUCUUUCCUCUUUCUGGCAUAAUGGCACAACGGCUCUCACAAAAUCAGGCAAAGGUCUUGCUAUUUCCGGGAAGAAUCCAAGGCAAAUCUCUUUUGAAUCCUGCCUCUCCGAUUCUUCCUCUUUUCUUUUGCCUCUACCAAGGUUCAAAUUUCAAAAGGGUUAGAGGUAAAAUCCCACCCAAAGGGCCCUAAGUUUCUUCUAUAAAUGCUUGCAAUAGGGAAAUAUUGUGGAGGACUUUUGGAUGCUAUCUUCUCCUCACUAAAAUUCACUAUUUCCUAUUAGCUAUCUCCUUAAGUAAAAGUUUUAACUUCAACACCUCUACUGUUUCUAUUUGGUAUUUACAUAGCAGAAAUUUUGGUUAUCCUUUAUUUAUUUUAGUUGAAUCUGCUUUUGCCCGAGAGGAAGGAGUAAGGUCGAGAUCGAAGUUCGAUAGUACAUCUAAGACCCGCCUCAGUUCGCUGCCCUGCAAAAGGUCUGUAUCUUCCCAUCUCGCUCUCAUUUUGAUUUUGAUUAGGGCACGUUUGAUGCAUGAUGUGUGUUUGCUGCGAGGGCUAUUAGUUUCUAUGAAGCUUUUAUGUUUGGUGCUAUAAAAAUAGCUCUAAUAAAUGUUUGUUUAAGGGAAUGAUCUAUGACUAAAGUUGUUAGCAAUAAUCCUUUAAGGAUAUCAUGUUCUGGUAUGUAGUGUUAGAAGCAUGCUUGACUGAUAUUUGAUGAAAUGCUCACAUGAAAAAGUAGAGAUUUAGGAAAAUUUUCUUUUCUUAUUAUCCCAAAUAUGCUGUACAGAAUGCAAAUUUAUACACCUAAAAAAUAGGAAUGAUGACUAUGGACAAUUACAACUAUAUUAAGUACAAGUGUGUCAUUCUUUAAUAUGUUAUCCUACUCAUUGUUUCCAUUAUGACAUUUGCAUCUAUAAUUGCAUUUGGAUAUUGAUGUUCUACAAAAAUAGACUGGAUGUGUUAAUAAAUUGGGCCAGACCUUAUGACAUAUUUGGGAUUCCAGUAUUUUGUUUAUUUGGACCAAUAUGUUAUAUUGGCCCAGUUUCGUGUUUGAGCCCCUGAAUCAUAUGUAUUGGUCUUCCAUUCUCUAGGUCAUUUGAGACACUUCUGCUUUCAUCUCUUCUUCAUCUUCUUCUGCGAUUGUAGUGAUGUGAGAGAUAGAGUUAAAAAAGACUGGUUUGUAGGAGAGACAUCCGUGAAAUUCAUAGUAGUAGGUGAGAUUGGUGCUGCAAGACAAAAUUUGGUUAGAUCAGUCAAGUACACAACAUUGCACACAUAAUCUGCCAGAUAUGAUGGUGGAUUGUGGUCCCUAGUAGACCGCCUUAGUUUAGUGGAAGGGGUAGGGAAGAUGGAGAGGAAAUACCCUUGGAGAUAGGAGAUGAGGUAGGAGUGUUGUGAGGUGAAGUUAUGGAAGGUUGUAUAGGGGAGUUAAAAUCUGACUCUGUGGAUAAAUGGAUAUUAGACGGAGAGAAAGAGUGAUUCGGGUCUUGAAUAGUAGAAACUUCUUUAGGAAAAAUUGGUUGUUCAGAUGAAGGAGACAAUAAUGGAAAUAUGUCCUCAUAAAAAAUAACAUCUCGUGAAAUAAAAAUAGCUUUAGAUUGAAGAUCCAACAAUUUGUAGCCUUUCUUUCCAAAAGAAUAACCUAUAAAAAUACACUUUACAGAUCUAGAUUCAAGUUUUGCUUUGUGAUGAGGUAAAGUAGAUGCAUAACCUAGACAACCAAAACAUUUGAGAAAAUCAUAAGAUGGAACUUUUCCAAAAAGAAUUUCUAAAGGUGUUUGAAAUUAAGAACUCUAGAGGGAAAUCGAUUUAUUAGAAAAGUAGCAGUUAACAAACAAUCACCCCAAUACAUGGUGGGGAGAUUAGAUUGAAAUAAUAGAGCCCUGCAUGUCUCUAAAAGAUGUUUGUGUUUUCGCUCAACCACUCCAUUUUGUUGUGGUGUGGAAACACAAGAGGUUUGAUGAACAAUUCCAUUAGAGGAUUUUUUUUUGAAAGAAUAGAUCCUGAUCCUAAUUCCAAAACAUUAUCAGAACGAAUGAUUUUAAUUUUUGUGGAAAACUGUCUUCCUACCAUUAUUAGAAAAGAUUUUAAAACUGAAAAAGUAUUACUUUUUGUUCUAGCAUACAAAUUCUCAAGCUAGUAUCAACAUGAAUUAGUUGAAAAAUGGAAUUUGAAUUUAUAUGACUUGAAUGAAAAGACAACUUUGCCUGCCUAGCUUGAGAACAUACAUCACAAGAAUGAUUAAAUGUGGUAAGAGAAGGAAAAUGAAAAUUUGAUAGAUUUUGCAUGCUAGAUAUGGGCAUGUGCCCCAAUCUUUUGUUCCAUAGGCUUACAUUAGAGUUGAUUCUAGCUGAACAAGAAACUGAAUGAGACACAAUGUGAUUCUUAAAGUUGUUGCAAGAAAAAAAAGACUGAAAAAAUGAUUGAUUUCCAUGAACUAGUCCGGAACUUAGAGAAACUGGACUAAGUAGAUAUAGACCUUCCUUCACUUCACCAACUACCUCUGCAAGAAUGUACGAAAAGAUGAGAAAAUCAAGGUACACAUGAGUUGUUUAGUGAGUUUGUGAACUGAAAUUAGAUUAAACUUGAAAUCUGGAACAUACAGCACAUUAUUUAGGAUUAAAUCUGGCAGAACAUGGACACUACCAACUUGACUGACCUUAACCUUAUAUGAAUUCGGCAGAUUGACGUAUAGAGAUUUGGUUAGAGGCUUUAUAUUAAAUAAAAUGGAAAGAUCAAAGUCAUAUGUUUUGAAGCUCCUGAAUCUAUUAUCCAGGAGGUAGAAUUCAUGUAAGGAAAACAGGAAAGACAAUAUAGAUUAGGGGCAUUGAUGGUUUUACCAGCAUAGUUGGCACUAGAAUUUGCAUCAGAACUCUGCUCACCCUGUUGUACCUUGUUGAAGAAGUUGAUAAAGCUAACUGAACUGUUCUUGAGUUAUGACUUUACCUGCUGUAUUUUCUACCAUUGUGUUUGCUGACAAAGAUGUGUUUUCUUCAUGCAUGAUUGCUGCAUUGCUGUGAGUUCCUCCAUGAUAUUUUCUGGAUUUGGUGAACUUCAAAGUGGAGGGAAAACCAAUGAUUCUAUAGCAUUUAUCAAUGGAAUGACCAGGUUUCUUGCAAUAGUUGCACAUCAGGUUACUCUUCUUUCCUUCAAGGUUUGCUUUGAAUUUUCCUUCCCUAUUAGCAUACUUUUGAAAAUAGGUUUGCUGAUUUCCUUCCAGAAAAGCAGUUUCAACAGGGUGUUGUGCAACAUGAAUUUCCCUUUGUUUCUCAUCUUGAAUGAAAAGAGAGUAGGCUUGAUUGACACUAGGCAGAGGGGUAAGCAUUAGAAUGUUACUCCUUACAGCUGAAUAGAUAUCAUUAAGUCCCAUGAGGAAUUGGAUGAGCCUGCCAUCUGCCACAACUCCUUUUUACAUACACUCGUAAAGGGUAUAAAUAUAAGGGAGUUUUUCCAAUUAAAGAACAAUCGAAACGGGAUUGUUUAUUUAUUAAAAAUCAGAGUCGCCACUUGGGAUAAUUUAGGGUGUCCCAAGUCACCGGUUGAAAUCCCAAAUCGAGGAAGUUGACUCUUAUUUAUGGUCCGCGAACACAGAAAUCCGGGUAAGGAAUUCUGUUAACCCGGAAGAAUGUAUUAGACAUUCCCGAGUUCCGUGGUUCUAGUACGGUUGCUUUUGAUUAUACUUGGCUUGCGAAAUUGUUUAUUUUCUCAUUUUGGAACCUAUGUGCUUUCACCUCUUAACCGCUUUUAAAUAAAAAAAAUCUUGAAACGGGUCACACGUACGUGUACCCAUUUGUUUGGCGCGUCAAAAAAUCAUGUCACGCGACCGUGUCCAUAAUUAAUAAUGCUUUAUUAUUGCCAAAAGUUUGGCCGAAGUUACGCGGACGUAUACACAAUCACGAUAGUGUGUUAAAUGUGCCUAGAGCAAAAUACCAACAUUUAUCAUAUUUUUUAUCUAGAUUAUUAACAUGAGGGCCAUGAAUAACUAAAUUGUAGAUGGCAUGCUUCAAAACUCGUAAAAUUGACUAGAGGCCUAUUAGCAACUAUUUCUAUUGUUAAAGGAAAUUGUUUGAAGUUGCGCGAACGCAUAUUCCAAUUUUAUUUUUAGAAACCGUAAUUAUGUCACGCGAACGUGUCCACAACCAUGAUAGUAUUUUUAAACGGUCCUAAAGGUUUCUCUACGAACAUUUGUUAUUUUACAUCUAUAUUAUGAAAUUAACACAAGAGCCAUUUGUUACUAAGUGUCUAAUUAUGGCUUGCCUCAAAUUAAUUACCAUAAAUAAUUGAACUAACGCGAUUUAAGGCCGAGGUAUGCAACUAUUAGGGAAAGGGGGAGGAGCAUUAGAUUAACAUAAACAACAAAUAAACCUUUAGGCUCAAGAAGAGGCCCAGGACAAACGAAAACAACGAGACAUACUCCUUAUUUCCGAAGGGGCCUCCAAGACCAGGCCAAACAGAAUGCCUUUAACAUGAGAUCUUAGACUGACCUCAGAGCCCAAAGACGAAACCCAAACGAACUCAGAAAAAUUAAAAACCAAACAAAUCAACUAAUUAACAAUCACAAACAAACGAGGAACUAAUUAAGCUAACUAAUUAAGCUCAGUGACCAAAACAAAGACAAAAAUGAGAAAUUUGAGCGUGGCACUAAUAAAAAAUUAACCAGACCAUAAACUUCAAAAAGAAAGUUGAAAAGCCAAUGACACAGAUACGAACGCAAAAUCAAUCUUAAGAGAACCUAGGUUUAGAACUUUGUUCAAAUCUCAGUCAAGGUAAAAAACAUAAAAAAAGUUAGAAGAAAAGAAGAGGAACAGAAGGUAAACUCGGAUAGAAGGGAAGGAAACUUAACCUAGCAAACCUGAAGUGGCGUCGGACACCUUGAUUUCAGCGGAACUGACACUAAUCACUUGUUCAUUGUCAAGAACAAAUGAGCAGCAUCAAUUCAUGUUGAAUCAGACUUCAAACUCGAGCAAAUCGGAGGCUUAAGGUCAUACAUGCCACAACUUUGACGGAAUUUUUAGGGUUCGAACUCAGAUUUAACAUUCGGAGAGUUCUAGGGUGAUUCAAGGGAAUCUAAGUGGGGAUUUAGGGUGAGGGAGAGACGGGGGUUCAGGGGUGUGAUUUUGGGGUCGAACCGAGGCGCCGCCGCCAUCGGAGAACACAGGGAGGCGCUAGGGUUUUCUUUCAAAUCAAGAUUCGAGACGUUCUGGGCUUGUUCGAUGGAAGGUGCUUGUAGAUUUGGACUGAGGGAGUUGAGGAGGGUAUUUGGUGUUAAUCUGAGGUCGGUUUGUGGUGGCGCCGCCUCCGACGGUGGGGGGAUUUAGGGGCGGCGUCGUUAGGGUUUGGCAGGGGCGGGUUGUGAGGGAGAUGAGUGAGGGGUGGGGGCAGGUUUGGACAUUUAAAUACUAAAGGACCUGGGCUUCUGGACCGUCCGAUCAAGAAACCUCGACGAUCCUGAUCUGCUGCCCGUAGNNNNNNNNNNNNNNNNNNNNNNNNNGGUUUUGGGGGGGGGGGGGGAAACCGACCGGGUUAGGGUGGUUUGGGCCGGGUAUUGGGUAAUUUUCAUUUGGGCUGGGACAAUUAAAUUGGGUUUGAGCCCAGAUUUGGAUUUUUUUCAUUCUUUCUUUUUCCUUUUUCAAUUUCACAAUUCUUUUCUUUUUCCAAAAUUCAAAUAAAACCUAAAUUAAUUAAUAAUAAUUUUUAAACUAAAUUAACCUACCCAAUUAGAUUAAUCACUCAACAUGGUAUUUACAAUAAUUAAUUAAAUCCUAAAUUUAAAGCAAAAUUAUACAAUUCAAAAUUAAAAAGUAAAAAUGCACAAUGAAUUAUUUUUGUGAUUUUUAUUUUUUAUAAAACAAAUUAAUUUGCUAAUUAAUCUAAAAAUAUUGAAAUUAAAUCCUAAAUGCAGAUGCAACAUAUUUUUUGUAUUUUUCAUGAAUUAAAUAAAAUAAACGUGCACAGACAAAUGCAAAUAAUUAACAGAAAAUGCCACGAAAUCCAACAAAAUUGCAGACACUGAAAGAAAUUAUUUUGUUUUGAAUUUGUUGGAAUAAUUCAGAUAGGGCAAAAAUCACGUGCUCACACCAUCUUGAAAGGAUUUGAAAGUCUUUGAUUUUCCUCUACAGUUGCAUUCAUAUGUACAAUGCACACAAGUAUUCAAGGUAUCUAACUCAUCCCAAAUCCUUUUCACCUAUGUAUAGUAACCUGCUAUAUCAGAGGUUCCCUGUACUAUAUCACUCAACUCCUUUUGUAACUGAUAAAGUUGAGCUCCAUUACAUUGCCCAAAUCUAACUUCAAGUUCUUUCCAAAUCUCAUUUGCAAUUUUAGAAUAAAGGACACUUUCAGCUAUGUCCUUAGAUAGAGAGUUCAAAAUCCAUGAUAUAACCAUAUCAUUGCAGCGAUUCCAAUGCUUGAAAUCAGUGGAAGUCGCAUCUGGUUGAUAAAAUGUUCCAUCGAUGAAACCAAGUUUGUUCUUGGCAGAAAAUGCAAUAAUUAUGGCUCUACACCAUCCUCCAUAUCCUUUCCCAUCAAAAACUGAGUUGACAAGAACCAUUCUUGAUGAAUCAGAUGAAUGAAGGUAAUUGAGGUGAGUGGAAUCGAUGAUGAUAGCAGCUGGUUGGUUAAUUGUUCUAGCUGCAGAAAUAUUUGAGGAGUCAUCUAUGGAGUUUGGUGCCAUUUCAAUAAAAGAGAAAGAAAAAAAAAGCUUCAGUUAUCUACUGCUCUGAUACCAAGUAGAGAUUUAGGAAAAUUUCUUUUUCUUAUUAUCCCACAUAUGCUGUACAGAAUGCAAAUUUAUACACCUAAAAAAUAGGAAUGAUGACUAUGGACAAUUACAGCUAUACUAAGUACAAGUGUGCCAUUCUUUAAUAUGUUAUCCUACUCAUUGUUUGCACUAUGACAUGUGCAUCUAUAAUUGCAUUUGGAUAUUGAUGUUCUGGAAGGAACAAGUGCCUUCCAGCUGUAUCCACUAUGCUACAAAAAUGGAUUGGAUGUGUUAAUAAAUUGGGCUAGACCUUAUGACAUAUUUGGGCUUUCAGUAUUUUGUUUAUUUGGACCAAUAUGUUAUAUUGGCCCAGUUUCUUGUUUGAGCCCGAUAGCCUCUGAAUUAUAUGUGCUGGUCUUCCAUUCUAUAGGUCAUUUGAGACACUUCUGCUUUCAUCUCUUCUUCAUCUUCUUCUUCGAUUGCAGCUGCUCUAUGUCGACCAGCUCUUGAUUUAGGGGCCAGGUUGUUGAUUUCCAGUCCAACAGAAAAUACCUAUCUCCUUUUGAAUACUUUUCUAUUAGAUGCCAUGAUUUUAAGAAGGAUAUUUUCCAUGAGCUAGUUGCCUUGCAAAAGAUUAAUUUUCUAUUGUGAUUUAGCACCUUUUCGCCUAAACAUCGUGCUUAUGAUUCCGAACAACUUGUUUAAAAAUAGAUUUAUCUAAAUGCAUACCGUUAAGCGAAGACUUGAUAUGCUUUCGCCGAAGUUUUGAACUUAUUGUUAUUAGUUAUCCAAAAUUCUUUUCUUUAGGAAACAUGGCUAUAGAAAUCCUAUGCUCUAUUUCUUUGUGCCGGUUAGUAAAUGGAUUUGAAAGUGUAGACGAACUUUAUUAAGAUGACAUUUAUGUCUUGAUAAAAUAUGUCCAUGUUGCUAUGUGAUUAUCAUUGGAAGUUUAUAUUUCAGUCAUUACCCUUAAGAGUUUGAUACUAGUCUAAAUAGCUGGAAGUAUUUAUCUCCGGCAUUUUGUCCAGAUUGUUGUGUGUUUGUUUGAUGAUAAGAAAUAUGGCUGGAAUUUCAUAAAAUAAUCUGACACUACGACCUCUUUGCAUAUCUUGAUCUUGAUAUAUUGUUAAAAAUCAAGUUCCACUUAGUAAUCCUUCUUAUCCUUGCAUAUAUAUGUUAAUUAAACUCUUAAGUUAUUUUGCUAAUUGUUUAUUUCUCUCUUCUUUUACAUGUAUACUUUGGAGCAUAUGGAGUCUUAAUGCGAGAUUUUCUUUAUCCACGUUUGGAGUCAACACAACUCAUUUUCCUUAGAAUGUGCCGGAUAGCAAGAAACAAGCGAAACGCUUGGGGAUGCCUACGGCGUCCUUCUUCUUUUAAUCUCUUUGCCACUCUAUUCUUAUCUAAUGUUUUUAUGAUUGUUAAGUUAUUUGUGUGCUUUGGAUUUACCUCAAGACUGGAAUUUUUUUUUUACAUUUGAGAGUUGCCGCUUAAGUGGAACUGACCUUGUUUUGGAAUCUUCCAUGUUGAGGUAAAUAUGGAAUUAUCCAAGUAUACUACAGCUUUUCAAGAUUAGCUACCUUGGAGAUUUAUUAUACAGUAAAUAUUUUAUGCUACAGCUGUACAAGUGUUCCGAUUUUAUGAACUUAUAGUUUUGUUAUGAC
rnacentral:lncRNA from 1 species